CUCAGCUGCUACAUGUUCACAGUCCAGGUGAGGUCAGAGGAGAUGUGGAUGCCCAGGAACUUAGUGCUGUCUACACGCUCCACUGCCUCUCCGUGUAUGCAGAGAGGAGCAUGCUCAGUCUUCCUGGACCUCCUGUAGUCCACGAUGACCUCCUUUGUCU